CUCAAAGAGAAACAAAUCCUACCGUGGACAGACUUUCCACCGUUUCGCCAAAGAGCAGGCACUUCGGCGUGAAUGAAUUAAUCACAUCAAGAGGGAUCCUGGUCCAUAUUUCAAGAUCAACGCUGAGACCGAGGUUUGAUCUGAGCACGUUGAGAAGCAAUGCUUUGUUAAGGUCACCCGUGGUAUGACAACGUUAAUAAAGGAUGCUGUGCCUGCCAACUUUGUUCGCCUGGACUUCAGAGAAGCCAAAGAGGAGAAUCAUCAUUCGCAUACCGUGUAUGGAUUCCAUGGAGUAUUCCAUCGAGUAUUUCUUCUGUUUCAAUCGUCUUGGUAAGGCAACUUGUCUAUUUUUCCCCAUACUGUUGUAACCUAAGUCUUAUAUUGUCUAUCACUGCCAAAUACUUCAGGUGAAACCUGCAAUUUGUAUUUUGUUUUGUUAAUACUUAAGUUUGAUGUUGGCUGGUUGAAAUGAGUUCGGAGUAAGCAGACUGUAUUUCAC